GAGCCCGUAAAACUAACGUAGGUUGUUGGUGUUCCCGUAAAACCAACGUAGGUUGUUGGUGUUUCCGUAAAACCAACGUAGGUUGUUGGUGAGCCCGUAAAACCAACGGUUAGGUUUAAUUGAUGAUCCCGUAAAACCAAUUGUAGGGUUUUUGGAUUGUGAGCCCGAUAAAACAAUCCAACUGUAUUCCGAGGGGUUAUAGUGAAUUUCCAAGGGAACGCUUGGAAA
rnacentral:lncRNA from 1 species